ACAGAGGUCUCAAGCGUUGUUCGGAUUCAUUGGGCGUAAAGGGUGUGUAGGUGGCGCGCUAAGUCGGGUGUGAAAUUUCGGAGCUUAACUCCGAAACUGCAUUCGAUACUGGCGUGCUUGAGGACUGGAGAGGAGACUGGAAUUCAUGGUGUAGCAGUGAAAUGCGUAGAGAUCAUGAGGAAGACCAGUGGCGAAGGCGGGUCUCUGGACAGUUCCUGACACUGAGACACGAAGGCCAGGGGAGCAAACGGG
rnacentral:rRNA from 1 species